ACCCGCUGAACUUAAGCAUAUCAAUAAGCGGAGGAAAAGAAACCAACAGGGAUUGCCCUAGUAACGGCGAGUGAAGCGGCAACAGCUCAAAUUUGAAAUCUGGCGCAAGCCCGAGUUGUAAUUUGUAGAGGAUGCUUCGGCGUCGGCCCCGAUCUAAGUUCCUUGGAACAGGACGUCCUAGAGGGUGAGAACCCCGUCUUCGAUUGGGUCGCCGUCGCCAUGUGAAGCUCCUUCGACGAGUCGAGUUGUUUGGGAAUGCAGCUCUAAGCGGGAGGUAAAUUUCUUCUAAAGCUAAAUAACGGCCAGAGACCGAUAGCGCACAAGUAGAGUGAUCGAAAGAUGAAAAGCACUUUGGAAAGAGAGUUAAAAAGUACGUGAAAUUGUUGAAAGGGAAGCUCAAGCUGCCAGACUUGGCCGCGCCUCUUCGGUGGCGCGGGCAGGCCAGCAUCAGUUCGGGCCGCCUGAUAAAGACCUUUGGAAUGUAGCUCCCUCGGGAGUGUUAUAGCCUUGGGUGUAAUGGGGUGAGCCUGGACUGAGGAUCGCGUUCGCUAGGAUGCUGGCGUAAUGGCAGUUUGCGACCCGUCUUGAAACACGG
rnacentral:rRNA from 1 species